UCCCUCCUACGGGAGGCAGCAGUGGGGGAUAUUGCACAAUGGGGGAAACCCUGAUGCAGCGACGCCGCGUGGGUGACGAAGUAUUUCGGUAUGUAAAGCCCUAUCAGCAGGGAAGAAGAUGACAGUACCUGACUAAGAAGCCCCGGCUAACUACGUGCCAGCAGCCGCGGUAAUACGUAGGGGGCAAGCGUUAUCCGGAUUUACUGGGUGUAAAGGGAGCGUAGGCGGCCAUGCAAGUCAGAAGUGAAAACCCGGGGCUCAACCCUGGGAGUGCUUUUGAAACUGUGCGGCUAGAGUGUCGGAGG
rnacentral:rRNA from 1 species